GACGGAUAUAGCCGGAUCGUCCCCCUCCUAAGGGGAAGGUCGCCCGUUCGAAUCGGGCCGGGGUCACCA
rnacentral:tRNA from 1 species